ensembl:snRNA U1 U1 spliceosomal RNA
AUACUUACCUGGUAGAGGGUAUACCAUGAUCACAAAGCUGUUUUUCCCAGGACGAGACUUAUCUCUUACACUCUGGAUGUGCUGAUCAUGUAAUUUCCUCAACUGUGGGAAACUCAAUGCAUAAUUUGUGGUAGUGGGGGACUGCAUUUGUGCUCUCCAUCC